GCAGAUGUGACUGGAACUUAAAUAAAUGCUCUCUAGGACUCAGUCAUCUUCAAAUAAUAAACAAAAAAUGAAAUCAUAAGUGUUAUAGAGAAGGCAAUUGAGAACCAAAGCAAAAGGUGGCAAUCUUCCAAUCCAAAAUUUUCUAUUUCCAACAGAAAUGGAAUGGGAACAAGCAUGGAAUACCUAACGAUGCAAUGACACAAUGAAUUUCACGUAACUCCCAGGAAACUACCUUGUGAAGUGGGGACUACCAUUCCGAUUUUACACAAAAAGAGGCUCAAAGAGGUUUUAAGUUGUGGUCCAGCAAGAUUUCCUCAUCAAAUAGAGUUUGAUGCCUGAAGAACAGGGACCUCACUUCAUCUGAAUUCUGAAUGAGCUAGGCAG